GGUUAGCUCUUAACCUCACAGCAGAAAGGACAGGACAUAGAACUCUGAAAUUGAUAUAAAUAGAUCCACCCCUUCCCAACAGGCAGUCUUUUUUGCCGUCCUUCACAGCAGUUUGGAAAGAGUCUCUUAAGCAGGUCUAAAUUUAUUUAUUUCAUGCUCACCAGGCCAAUACUUUUGUGGCCCGGUCACGAUUCAGCCUCUGAGGCC